rnacentral:snoRNA from 1 species
ACGACCUUACUUGAACAGGAUCUGUUCUAUAGGCUCGUGCAUCUGUCUUCAAGAGUUCAAAGAAGACAGGCAAUCAAGUCUGGCGGAUGACUCCAUGGCCUUAGAAUUAGAGCGUGAUUAAAGGGUGAAAACUUCUUGAGUUCAAACCUCCAGAGGAUCGUUCUCAGUUGGCUGUGGCCACCUGGAGUGAUUCUAAGGUUGUCUGACAGACU